rnacentral:rRNA from 1 species
UGGGGAAUAUUGCACAAUGGGCGCAAGCCUGAUGCAGCCAUGCCGCGUGUGUGAAGAAGGCCUUCGGGUUGUAAAGCACUUUCAGCGGGGAGGAAGGCGAUAAGGUUAAUAACCUUGUCGAUUGACGUUACCCGCAGAAGAAGCACCGGCUAACUCCGUGCCAGCAGCCGCGGUAAUACGGAGGGUGCAAGCGUUAAUCGGAAUUACUGGGCGUAAGCGCACGCAGGCGGUCUGUCAAGUCGGAUGUGAAAUCCCCGGGCUCAACCUGGGAACUGCAUUCGAAACUGGCAGGCUAGAGUCUUGUAGAGGGGGGUAGAAUUCCAUGUGUAGCGAUGAAAUGCGUAGAGAUGUGGAGGAAUACCGGUGGCGAAGGCGGCCCCCUGGACAAAGACUGACGCUCAGGUGCGAAAGCGUGGGGAGCAAACAGG